rnacentral:rRNA from 1 species
AAAAUGACUCUCGGCAACGGAUAUCUCGGCUCUCGCAUCGAUGAAGAACGUAGCGMRAUGCGAUACUUGGUGUGAAUUGCAGAAUCCCGUGAACCAUCGAGUCUUUGAACGCAAGUUGCGCCCGAAGCCGUUAGGCCGAGGGCACGUCUGCCUGGGCGUCUCGC